rnacentral:rRNA from 1 species
AGCGAACGCUGGCGGCAGGCCUAACACAUGCAAGUCGAACGGCAGCACAGAGGAGCUUGCUCCUUGGGUGGCGAGUGGCGGACGGGUGAGGAAUACAUCGGAAUCUACUCUGCCGUGGGGGAUAACGUAGGGAAACUUACGCUAAUACCACAUACGACCUACGGGUGAAAGCAGGGGACCUUCGGGCCUUGCGCGAUUGAAUGAGCCGAUGUCGGAUUAGCUAGUUGGCGGGGUAAAGGCCCACCAAGGCGACGAUCCGUAGCUGGUCUGAGAGGAUGAUCAGCCACACUGGAACUGAGACACGGUCCAGACUCCUACGGGAGGCAGCAGUGGGGAAUAUUGGACAAUGGGCGCAAGCCUGAUCCAGCCAUACCGCGUGGGUGAAGAAGGCAUUCGGGUUGUAAAGCCCUUUUGUUGGGAAAGAAAUCCAGCUGGCUAAUACCCGGUUGGGAUGACGGUACCCAAAGAAUAAGCACCGGCUAACUUCGUGCCAGCCGCCGCAGUAA